rnacentral:pre_miRNA from 1 species
AGAAGAGCUGGACAAGUACUGGUCCCAGCAGAUUGGAGAGCACCAUAGCGGUCACCUCACAGUCUGCUGAGGUUGGAGCUGCUGAGAUGACGCU